rnacentral:rRNA from 1 species
UACGUAGGGUGCGAGCGUUGUCCGGAAUUAUUGGGCGUAAAGGGCUCGUAGGCGGUUUGUCGCGUCGGGAGUGAAAACCAUGGGCUUAACUCAUGGCUUGCUUCCGAUACGGGCAGACUAGAGGUAUGCAGGGGAGAACGGAAUUCCUGGUGUAGCGGUGAAAUGCGCAGAUAUCAGGAGGAACACCGAUGGCGAAGGCAGGUCUCUGGGCCACUACUGACGCUGAGAAGCGAAAGCAUGGGGAGCGAACAGG